rnacentral:lncRNA from 1 species
CUACUUCUGUGGACGAUAAAGCUGUCGCACGUGCAGUCGAGAGCUCAAUUUAUUUUCAAGAUGAGAGGGUUCACACUGCUCUGUUUGGUGGGAUAUAUUCUUAUAGCUGCAGAUGCACAAUGUUGGAAGCUCCCAGGUGGUUGCGGCCCAAUGGGAAAUUCUGAGGUGUUACAAACGGCACCAGCAGAAAGUGGUGGACACAACGAGACAAACCAUUGGAAUGGUACCACACAACCAAUUGAAAAUAACUACGGUUUCCCACCACCACCAGCUGAUGGAGAGAAAACUAAGGUGCCUAAAGAAGACACAGUGCCAAGAACAACGAAGAAACCAGUAAGUAAUAAAAGUGCCAGCAGGACAGAGGAAACUGAUAUAUUCAGAUCACAGAAGAGACUUAGUAAAUAGUGGAGGGUGACUAGUAGUAGAUACAGCAAAAGCUGAAGGGUCAUUACAAGAAAAAAAAAGUAUAAUAUGACCAGUGAGGAUCUAUGGGCUUGGUGGUGCGACUACAAUGCAACAUUUAGACUUUUAACAACUAUAAUUUAUUAGCGGAGACCCACCACACACACACACACACACACACACACACACACACAUAGUGACAACAGACCAUGGAUGUAUCCAGCGUCCACAUUCACCUACACGUUAAUUCAUGUUUCUGCACUGACCCCGAUCUGUGCACCUUCGAUUCAGCCAUAGUUUUUACACUGUGAUGAUAACACAAAAAUAAAU